AUUGACCUCGGAUCAGGUAGGGAUACCCGCUGAACUUAAGCAUAUCAAUAAGCGGAGGAAAAGAAACCAACAGGGAUUGCCUCAGUAACGGCGAGUGAAGCGGCAACAGCUCAAAUUUGAAAUCUGGCUCUUUCAGGGUCCGAGUUGUAAUUUGUAGAGAGUGCUUCGGGGGAGACCGCGGUCUAAGUCCAUUGGAACAUGGCGUCACAGAGGGUGAGAAUCCCGUAUGUGACUGUGGUUCGAGCCCAUGUGAAGCCUCUUCGACGAGUCGAGUUGUUUGGGAAUGCAGCUCAAAAUGGGUGGUAAAUUUCAUCUAAAGCUAAAUACUGGCUGGAGACCGAUAGCGCACAAGUAGAGUGAUCGAAAGAUGAAAAGCACUUUGGAAAGAGAGUCAAACAGUACGUGAAAUUGUUGAAA
rnacentral:rRNA from 2 species